UCCACCUGUGAGAGUACAAGCCUAUAUAUCCCCUUUAGGAAAGGCAAUCCCACUGAUCCCAUGGGCAGGCUGCAGGAAGGAGAGAGAUCCAGCCUCAAUUUUGAGACUUCAGCAUAUAAAUAACAAUAGAAAACCAUGCAAUGCUUGCAGAGUAAGAAGUGAAGCAAUGACAUUAGCUAAUUCCAAAGGAAGAUUAACCCGAGUGGAGAAAAAAGGAGGAAAAUCAGAAAAGUUAAGGCCAAGUGUUUCAAGAAAGAAGCAAGAUACGGUGAGAAGACUUCCCUCUGCAAACUAGGGAGAAAAGUUUUCACCAGGAACAAAGUCAGCCAGCACCUUGAUCUUGGACUUCCCAGCCUCCAGAAUGCUCUAGUCUAAACGUGCUCUGCUCCCUUUCCAUGGGGAGUCUGUCUUCAGAAGGAUGAUUAUUAUACACGCAACCAUCUGAAGCGUAUUUCUGCAGUGAGCAUCUGUUUCCACUCAGGAGAACAUCUGCCCAAUAGCCAGGUGGGCACAUGUGAAUGGCGGAAGAGGAAGACCUCAUGCUGAUAUGAUCCUCAUGAGAAAAAUCUAUGCUGAGUGAAGGUGACACCAGAGGAUAGUUUUGUCCUGAAAGGAGAAAUUGAAGCAACGGCCAAGUAAUAUGAAUAUAUUUUAAAUUUAAAUUUACACAAAGAAUUAAAAGCCUUUUAAGAUUUAAAAAAGACAGAUUAACAUAAUUAUUCCAUUUCUAUCCAAUUACAGAGCAUCUGCUCUGUAUUUGUAUAUGAAUUGUUUCCCUACCUUUGGCCAAAUCUUCACAACUUUUGAGAGGUAUUCAGCCCCUAUUCUGAAGUCAUCUUAUUUUUCUUGUCCCUAAUUUCUGCCUUUAAUCAUAUGAACUCUGUUCUGUAUCUUUGCAAACCUACUCAAAUUCUUUUUUGAGUGUGGUAGGAAAUCGAUUAACCAUUCGAUCAUCCUUCUCUUUGAAAAAAAAAAUGUUUUCUCUCACUGUCUACCUCCCUUCUCUAUGUUCCCCAAAUGCAAGGCUUUUGGUAUAGUUUUGUUCAGGGCAUAAAUGAUGUGAAGACCCAACAGAACCCAAUUCAAUUCUAUUGACAGAAAUAACCUAGAUAUGGCACCAUUCACCUUGAAUCUGUCUCUUACUUUGAACAUUUGGGGACAGAAACUUUAUCUUGUUCAUCUAUAUAUGCCCAACAACUAGCACAGUGUUUCAUUCAAUGUAGAUCAAUAAAAAGUUGUGGAGUUGUUGUUGUAGUAAUUCGGUUGAGGAACUACAGGCAAAAUGGUAAAAAGCAUAUUGCAUGGUACAUACUCAAGGAAACUAUCCUCAGGACAAUUUCUGUGAAAUAGUGACUUGUAGGCUGAAGUUCUGGGCACAGAUUACAGGAAUAACCCACAUCCUGCAACUCUGGAAUGAGUAACCAAAACUCUGAGAUGUCAAUCUAUUACUGAAACACCUGGUAAUUUUGAUAAACAUUCCAGGCAGCACUGAGAAGAAAUAUAUCAUUGUCCUUGAUUAUCUAGAGCUAUUCCUCAUGGAUCUGGACAGAAGCCCUGGCUUUUUUUUCUCUUACGUUACAGUACAGGAAUUAAGUGCACAGGCCGGUGGACCCAGGUCUGAAAUGAGAUUCCAUCACUAAUGGUGUGACCUUGGGACAAGUCACUGGAACACUAAGACACAUUUUCCUCACCUGUAAAUUAGAAGAACUGAUAGUACCUACACCAUAGAGUUGUAUGUGUUAUAUGGGGAAAAGCUUCAUGGAAGGCCUCCACAUAUGUGUAUACAAUGAAUAUUAGCUAAUUCCGGUUUUCUUCUCAGCAUGGCUGCUUACAAAUCGACCUAGCUGUGCCAACAUAAAUUCAUCUGAAAAGAUUUACCCUGCUCAUACUCCCUGCAAGUGUAAUUUCCCCUCCCUACUGGGCCAUUCUCAUUAUCACACAGUCUGUAAUAUCUCUCAUUUUAAAAUCCCCCUAAGUGCCCUCUUACUUCCUCUAACUACUAUCCAAUUUCCCAAACUCCCCGACAGGGUAUGAGUUAUCAGUGUCCACUUGUGGACUUUCCUUUUUAUUUUAACCCACUUUUAUUUGGCCUCCAGCCCCAUCACUCUGCAACCCCCCAUUUGCCAAGGUCACUGAUAUCUUUUAUUUCCCCAAGCCCAUUGGUCAAUGCUCAGUCAUCCUUUUAUUUGCAUCUUGGGAGCAUCUGACAUAUUUGAUUAUUUCCUCUUUCUUAAAAUGCUUUUGUCACUGGCCUGAUGGGAAAACACUUUAUUCUGGUGUUUCUUCUUCCUCAUCAGCUGCUUCUCAGUUUUCAUUGCCAGGAACUCCUCCUCUUCCCUGAAUAUAAAUGUUGUAAAAUCUAGUCUUUUCCCCUAUUUUUUCUACAUAGACUCCCUCCCUAGAUGAUCUUCUCUAAUUCUGUAGCUAUGGAAAACUUUUGUGUAUUGAUGCCUCCUUUAUUUCUAUUUCUAUUUCUGUAAUUGUCCUCUGUUCCUGAGCUCUCUACUGAUAUCAGGUGGCCCAGGAUCUCUACUUGGGUUUUCAGGAGGUUUUUCAACCUUAUCAUGUUCUGAUUUUACCUCAAAGUUUCAUCCAUACCUUUUCAGUAGAUGUUAUCACUAUUUACUGCCUCUCAGGAAAAAGAAAAAAUAAAAAAACUAAGCUAUACCCUUUUCCCGCACCCCUUUCCAUCUUCUUUUUCAAUCAUAUUUCACUGCCAUCCACAUUGGCCCUCUGAUGAUCUCUAAUUAAACUAUACAAUAUACUUUGUUUGGGGGUCUUUAUCUUUGAUGGUCCUUCUGCCUCCUUGAAAUGAUCUUUUCCUGUAGAAUUCACAAAUCUUGUUUUUUUGUAUAAACCCAAAUGUCAUUUCCUCAGAGAAGUCUUUCCUGAUCACUUACUCUAAUAGAGAACUCCCGUUAUUUUCUGUCCCCUAAUCUAUCAAUCUGCCACAUACCUUUAUUUAACCAUUGCUUAUAAACAUAAGAUCCAUUUUUUCACUUUCCUGUUGACUAUCUCACUGACCCAGAAGAAUUUAAGCUCACUUAGAGCAAGAUCUUUAUUUUUUUCUUCACUGUGUCCACAGUUACUGCUUAUAAUAAACUCUCCAUAAGUAUUUGUGGAAUAGAUGUACUGUAGAGAUGGGACUUGGUUAAGGAAGGAUCUGAUUCAUACUUGGACACUUGAAGGCCAUAUACACAAAAUGUAUAUUCUAUUUAUCUAAAAACUUGCUAUUUUCAUUUGUCUCCUCAAACCUCUUAGGUAUUGAUAGAGUGCUGAAUCUGAAAGAAAAACACAAAAGUGGUAGCUCUGGCCUGCCGUUUAUAAUCUAAAUCCCCUAGGGAAAGUCACUUGAACCAGCAACUCAAUUUCCCAAGUUGUAAAAUGGUGAUCAUCACAUCUUCCAUCACUAACCCAGAGAAUUGUCAAAUGAGAAAAGAAGCCAUCACUUAUUAUGCACCUACUAUAUAUCAGGCAUUGUACACUCAGAUGUGUCUUUCAUAUAUAUUUCUCUUCUGAAUUAUUACAGUGACUUUCUAACUCAUUUCACUGUCUUCACCCAUGAAAUCCAUUUAAGAUGGCCUUGGAGUAAUUCUAAAAAUAUAAAUCGGAUCUUAUCACUCUUCUGAUGACCAGGACACCCUCCUGCAGCUCUCUAUCGACUAGAUAAUAAAGUCCAAAUUCCUUGGAGUGACAAAAACAAACCUUUAAAUUCUGGCCCCUACCUCUUUCUCCUGCUUCAUUUCUUAGAACUCAGCUUUCCUCCAUCCGAGUUUCUUAAAAUAUCACUCACCCAUUUGUCCUUAAAUAAAACAGACUAUUUCUUAUCAUUUGACUCUGUAUUUGUGAUGUUCUCUGCCUGGAUCUUCUCCCAUCCUUUGACUGUCAAACUCGCAUUUAUCCUGUAAAGUUCCAUAGACAUGUAAUCGCCUGCAUGAAGCCUUUAACAGAAUAUGCCCAAACCUCCAGAAGAGUCAACC